CACGUGGGUAACCUACCUAUAAGACUGGAAUAACUCCGGGAAACCGGGGCUAAUGCCUGAUAACAUAUAGAACCGCAUGGUUCUAUAGUGAAAGAUGGUUUUGCUAUCACUUAUAGAUGGACCCGCGCCGUAUUAGCUAGUUGGUAAGGUAAUGGCUUACCAAGGCGACGAUACGUAGCCGACCUGAGAGGGUGAUCGGCCACACUGGAACUGAGACACGGUCCAGACUCCUACGGGAGGCAGCAGUAGGGAAUCUUCCGCAAUGGGCGAAAGCCUGACGGAGCAACGCCGCGUGAGUGA
rnacentral:rRNA from 1 species